GACGAACGCUGGCGGCGUGCCUAAUACAUGCAAGUAGAACGCAGUUGCGAACGGGUGAGUAACGCGUCGGUAACUGCCUGGUAGCGGGGGAUAAAUAUUGGAAACGAUAGCUAAUACCGCAUACUACCAGAUGGACCUGCGUUGUAUUAGCUAGUUGGUGAGGUAACGGCUCACCAAGGCAACGAUACAUAGCCGAGCUUGGAGGGUGAUCGGCCACACCGGGACUGGGACACGGCUCAGACUCCUUCGGGAGGCAGCAGUAGGGAAUCUUCGGCAAUGGGGGGAAACCUGACCGCGCAAAGCCGCGGGGGUUAAGAAUGUUUUUGGGUCGUAAAGCUCUGUUGUUAAGGAAGCGGUACUUAACCAGAAAGCGACGGCUAACUACGUGCCAGCAGCCGCGGUAAUAC
rnacentral:rRNA from 1 species